AGUAGAAUUGCAAAGUUCAGAAAGUACCUGUAUUUUUAUGUUAAUGACUAACAUUUUUAUAAAUAAAAAUUCAACCCAUAAUAUAUCGAUAAGGCUGGUGAAUGGAAUCAAAUUUACUUUUCCAGGUGUCACGCCUAGUCCAGCAACCAAGCCUCCAGUUUCAAGUAGUCCUGGACAUCCCCCUCCUGAUGAAACACCAUCUCAAUCAUUAGGUGCAGGAGUCAUUGUUGCGAUUGUUUUAGCUGUUGUUGUUGUUGUCGUGGGACUCAUCAUCUGCGUAUACUGUCAGAAGAAGAGGAAAGGUUCUGCAACAAAUCAUGGACCAUGAUGGGACCUUCCCUACUGUUGCAGAAAAACUGAUGGGGGUUAAACUUGCUGAGAGGGCCCUUUUCCCUUCCUCUGUUCAGCACCUACCUAACUGGUGAGAGCCACAAAGAAGUAAGAUUUAUUUCUCUAUGAGAAGAAGAGGUGAGAGAAGGGUUUGCUUUUAUCAUCAUAAGGAAAACAGAAGGCAAUGCUGCCUACAGCACAUACCAGAGUAAAUCAAGCACUCCGGCACAGUAGACGCUCUGACAGACUUUCCAGAACGCUCCACCACUUCGUUUUUAAAAUGUCAAGAAAGACCCACAUUAAAUUCGAUGGCUACUAUGCAAAACAGUAUGGAGGGCCCUCAAAAUUAGAACCGGAGCCACCCUAUGAUCUUAUGGGAAUAUAUCUGAGUGAAGGGAAAUCACUGUGGAAGAGAGAAUCUUCUGCCCCUCCCUGUUUGUUGCAGCACUAUGUACAAUAACAAAGACAUGGAAGCAAUCUGAAGUGUCCGUCAGCCAAUCAGUGGAUAAGGGAGAUGUAUGCACGUACAGUGAAAUACUAUUCAGUCAUUAAAAAGGAAAACGUGUAUUGGCCUUCAGGACAUUUUGCUAAGUGAAAUAAGUCAUAUAUAUAAAGAGAGAAAUACUGUAUGAUCUCCUUUAUAUGUAGAGUCUAUUUUAAACUCAUCAAAGAAGAAAUCAGAUUUGUGGUUGGUGGGGUGAGAAUUGGAUGAAGGUAGUGGUCAAAAGAUUCAAAUUUAGUUAUAAGCACGUAUUGGAAUGUAACAUACAGCAUGGUGACUAUAACUAGUAAUACUUUAUUGCAUAUUGGCAAGUUCCUUAAAGAAUAGAUCUUAAAAAUUCUGGUCACAAGGAAAAAGAUUUUUUUUUUUGUAACUAUAUGAGUUGAUAGAUGGUAACUAAAAUUUGCUCAUUUCAUAAUAAACUUAUCAAAUCCUUACACUGUACACCUUAAACUUAGAUAAUGUUACAUAUCAAUUACAUCUCCAUGAACUAGAAGGGGGGAAAGAUCUACAAAGGCGUUCUCUGGUUUAUUUCACUGUGAAGGCAUAAUGCUAACAUCUCAGUGCCGCUUGGGUGUAGUCACUAUCCUUUGACCCCUCUGAAAUGGGUGUGAACUUGGGAAUGAACAUCUAGCCUGGUAUCCCUUAAAAAAACAUUUGCAUUUAUAGAGCAAUUCAACACAGUGCCCUUGGAUUAUGGUAGGAAAAGGAUGUUUUUUAUAAACUCUGAAUAUUUAGAGAAGUAUAGUUUAAAAAUGAGACAUUUCAUCUAUAAAGAAUGUGAUUUUGCAAUGUUCAUUUCCAAAGUUAAUACCAACUUUCAAGACUCUUUUAACAACUCUAUUGUGUGUAUUGUAGAUAGUUUAUUGUAAAAAGUCUUUACAAAUAUGUGUAUACUGCUUCAGCCCUUAAAAAUUAAAAACUAUCACUGAAAACUGGGAAUUUGAGUUAAGUGUGACCUCCUUAACUAAGAAUAUUAUGGGAAAGUAAUUUUAAGGGGAUGGGAUAAGUUUCUAUUUUGCAAAAUAUAUUUUAACUUCUUGAUGAUUUAGAGAAGCCAUGAAGUUAAUGUGUGGCAUUUGUUGUUCACGUUUUCUAACAUCAACAAACAAGCCUGAGAAUAACAAUUUAGGCUCAGUUGCUUGCUUCUGUGAAAAGUUAGAGGGCGCUAACAUUCCUAACACGAAUGCCCGCUUGGUACAAAGUGAACACUGUGGCCUUGUAGUUUUCUUGGGGAGAAUUCCCCUCUUUAAGAGAGAACAUAGAAUGCGCUCUGAACUCUGGCCUAGGGGGAUUUCUCUCCCGACUUGAAUAAAAAGCUCUCUCACUUCAGUAAGUCACCUGGCAGUCGUUUGUAGGGAGUAAAUUCAACAGAUAUCCCAAGUUGCAUCAGAAUUAGUCUUUGUGUGGGUCUCACCUCACCUGCUAAAAGGCAGAGUAAACAUUAACCACGUAUUUCAGAAAA